rnacentral:rRNA from 1 species
UACGUAGGGUGCAAGCGUUGUCCGGAAUUAUUGGGCGUAAAGAGCUCGUAGGCGGCCUGUCGCGUCGGCUGUGAAAACCCGGGGCUCAACCCCGGGCCUGCAGUCGAUACGGGCAGGCUAGAGUCCGGCAGGGGAGACUGGAAUUCCUGGUGUAGCGGUGAAAUGCGCAGAUAUCAGGAGGAACACCGGUGGCGAAGGCGGGUCCCUGGGACGGUACUGACGCUGAGACGCGAAAGCGUGGGGAGCGAACAGG